UCUGGUGACAAUGGCAAGGAGGUCACACCUGUUCCCAUGCCGAACACAGAAGUUAAGCUCCUUAGCGCCGAUGGUAGUUGGAUUUA
rnacentral:rRNA from 1 species